rnacentral:rRNA from 1 species
UACGAAGGGGGCUAGCGUUGCUCGGAAUCACUGGGCGUAAAGCGCACGUAGGCGGCUUUCUAAGUCAGGGGUGAAAUCCUGGAGCUCAACUCCAGAACUGCCUUUGAUACUGGAGAGCUUGAGUCCGGAAGAGGUGAGUGGAACUCCGAGUGUAGAGGUGAAAUGCGUAGAUAUCCGGAGGAACACCGGUGGCGAAGGCGGCAUCCUGGACCAACACUGACACUGAGGAGCGAAAGCCAGGGGAGCAAACGGG